rnacentral:lncRNA from 1 species
AUCUUGUCACAAGCCUGGGUAUUUCAGAGGCUGCCCCAAUGUUCAAUGCCUUCAUGAAAGAGAGGGGGCCUGUUCCCACACUAGAGUGGUCCCACCAGUGCCGUGGUCAGAAGAAGGAGAAACUGGCUAAACAACCUGAGCAAAUACAGUGAAGGACAUCCAAGACACAGCCAAGAUUUCCAGUCCUACCUAACUAUUUCAGAGUGAAGACUUGAGUAAGCUGCAAUCUGAGAACAGAAGGAGUCUGGAUAAGUUCUAGAAGUUUUUUAAAUGGUAAGACUACAAACAAAAAUUCCCAAACUUCUUGUUAAAG